AUCUUUUACUUUCAUCGCAACGCACGGGCACAUAUCUAGAAUAUAUAUUGUUAUCGUGUUAUUGUACGAUUCCGUGGCAUAUUAUAGUGAUGAUAGUGCAAAGUUUGUUAAAAGGUAAGGGCAGCCAUAAUGUACAGUGCUGUAGUUGUAUGUUUCAUUUCUUUCUCUAAUAAAUAUUAUAUCAUUUGAUAAGAUCAAGUCAGUUUAUGUUUGGGCAGGUUAUAAUGUUUUUGCCCUUUUAACUUUACUAUAUACCCUUUUUUGUCAAGGCUUUGAUGAUAAGCCAAUGGUUAAAAGGGCUGUCAUUGUAACCCCCACAAGCUUAGUUAGCAACUGGGAAUCUGAGAUAAUUAAGUGGUUGAAAGGCAGAGUGCAGGUGCUGGCCCUCUGUGAAAGCACACGUGCUGAUGUUCUUUCCGGAAUUGAAAGUUUCUUAAAACCCUUGAGCCGUCUCCAGGUUUUCUUUUGCUUACUAAUUAUUUCCCAUGCUUUUCUGCUGAGGGCUAGAGAACUGCAGCAGCUGAACUUUGUCAUAAUUUUUAGCAAUUUUGAGAUACAAAUGCCUCUCAUCAGUAUCUUAUAGUUUGCCCUUUCCUUUCUGCCUCACCUUGCAGGGGGAGGAACUGCGCAAGCACAUUGGCGCAACUUGUUACAUCGAAUGCAGCUAAAAAACUCAGCAGAUUAUUAAGGGCAGGCAAACCUUACUUGUUUUAUGGCUAGAAAUAAUGAGGGUCAUCUCCAGCUGCCAGAGAUGGAUCAUAUUCAACCCAAGAACACCCCGCACAAUGAACCACUGCCUCUAGCCUCCUGAGAACUGGAACGGUGGUGUUGGGUUUGUGUCUAAGGAAAUGAUCCAAUCUCAUUGUCCAGCGCCUGCUGAGUACAUUCAGGCCAUGGAUGCACACCUUGACGAGCUCAACUACACAAAGGAGAUGCAGUUCCAGUUCACGGAUGCAUAUAGCCGAGCAUGCAGCUUUCUUAAACCACAAAGACAGUUACAUCAGAAGCUGUAUCAGAAGUGGUUCAGAGUUCUGUUUCUGUGGCGGUCGAUGCUGUUGACUUGGUAGAUGACAAGGGAGAUAGCGAUGAUGACAUCGUCGAUCACCAUGGGGACGAGGACAGGAUGACUGAUGUGGAGCUGUGGCAGCAACUUGAAAGUGAGUUGUACCGGAAGAGGGAGGGAGAAGAAGAUGACAUAGCCGAAGAGAUGGCUGAAAGUACAAUUGCUGAGGAGGUGGGUGGCGUGGCUGAAGAUGUGCUCAGCGAGACAAAGGAAGUGCAUAGGUU